CUCAUUUCCUUUUUUCCUGCUGGCCCUGGGAAUUUUUGCAGCCAUAAUCCUCACAGCAGUCCUUGUAUAUUAUGUCCUAAAGAGAGUCAAAAGCUAUCUGUGUCCACCUCUACCCAACCCUUCCAUCAGCAAUGCUACGAAGUUCCUGGAAGAGGAUAGGAAGCCAGUCAGGCCAUGGAUAGGAGCCCCAGAAACAGUGGAAGAUGUUGGCAUCAGGGAGUCACUGAUUAUUGAGGUCAGCUCCCCCAAAGUGGGUCCUGAAGUGGGCUCUGAGGUCAGGCUACUUUGCCUUGAGGAACCCAAGGAGAUCCCAGACACCAAAGAGAAACAAAUGGUUGGAGGAAAUGAUCUGCCUUUGGACAUCGAGAUUUCUUCUGACUAUAAAAGGCAGAAUCACAUGGAAGUAGUUGGAGAUGACGGCCCACAAGAUACCAGGGACCUGGGUAGUCAAGACGAUUGUGAUGGAGAGAAAAUGGUGCCACUUUUCAUCUCUCCAGAAGCAGAGGUCCCAGCAAGGAUGUUAACACUUUCUUUUCUUUCAGUUCUCAGACCAUCUGAGACUUCAGAAAAUUUGAAGGAAUAACUUAGCAUAGGUUGAACUAGAAAUGAUGAACUUGAAAAAAAUGACAAUCCUUUAUAGGAUAUCAAUCCUAAAAAGGACCUUAGAUAGAAUGUCAGAGCUGGGAGGGAGACUAGAACAGAGAAUGUCAGAACAGGGGGGCCUUAGAAAAUAGUGUCAGAGCUGGAAGGGUCUUUAGAGCCCAGAUUGGCAAGGCUAGGGCGGCCCUUUGGACUCAGUGUUGUAGUUGAAAGGGUCCUUAGAAGAGAAAAUGUGAUCUCUGAAAAGUCUGUUAAUGUCUCUAAAAUCCCAUGAUCAAAAAAAAAGAGCUAUGUUUUAUUAUAUGUAAUUCUAUAAUAGCUCUGAAACUAUAUGACUAUCCAUAUUAUCUUUCCUUGGGAAAAAAUAUGGAAAUGAAUGAUGACAGUAUAAACCAAAAUAAAAGAUGAGAGAUGAGCUAAUAAAAUAAACUU
rnacentral:lncRNA from 1 species